UUAAACGUCCAUACCACGUUAAAUACGCCUAUUCUCGUCCGAUCACCGAAGUUAAGCAACGUCGGCCGCGGUCAAUACUUGGAUGGGUGACCGCGUGACGUUGGCU
rnacentral:rRNA from 1 species